rnacentral:lncRNA from 10 species
UUUUGCCAUGUUGCCCAGGGUGGUCUUGAACUUCUGGCUUCAAGUGAUCUGCCCACUCUGGCCUUCCAAAGUGUUGGGAUUACACACAUGAAUCACCAUGCCCGAACAAUUUUAUUUAAGAAACAGGGUCCUGGUAUGUUGCCCAGCUGGUCUCGAACUCCUGAGCUGAAGCAAUCCUCCUGCAUCAGCCUCCUGAGUAGCUAGGAUUAUAGGUGUGUGCCACCAUGCUGGCCAAACACCUAUCUUACGGUCAGCAAUUGCACUUCUUGGAAUUUAUUCAAGAGAAAUAAAAACAUAUGUCCAUGAAAACACUGGUACUGGAAGUACAGGUUAGUAAUUCUGAAAGUACUUUAAAUGUAUACUGGGGCUGGAAAAAAUAAGUAAAUGAAUAAUCGAUGGUAGGAGCAAGAUUUCUCAUGACUAGCAGGAAAGUUAUAAAUAGGUAAAAAGGGAAGGCUAGUACAAGCUUUAUGGUACUGGGUGAGAGUCAGAGAUAGCAAUAUGUGCUAGUGUUUAGCUUAUGCAUACAGAAGCAAAAACAAUGAUAGAUAUGUAUGAAUUCAUGGGUUAAUAAUGUACAUACGUAUAUUAUUUAGCUCUGACUCUGAGAGGACCUGAAAGCAAUGACACCACCACAAAAACAAACAUACCCAGACUCCAGAUCUUGGUUUCUAAACACCAUUCUCCCAUAAAAGGAACCAGGCCUCCUUGGAGAAAUGGCUGAUUCUCAAGCUGGGUUAGGAAAAAUACAAGAUGAACCUGAAAAGUCAUGCAGUACCAGAAAGUAAUGAGGUGCUCAAAAACAAACCAAAUGAAACAAAAACAAAAUGAUGAAGGCAUGUCAAAGACACACAGGGGCCAAUGGCCAAGGAUGGAACAAAUUGAGCCACAAAAUGACUAACAUUGUUUGGAUUAUAACCCCAAAUAUAA